GAUGAACGCUGGCGGCGUGCCUAAUACAUGCAAGUCGAGCGAACAGACGAGGAGCUUGCUCCUUUGACGUUAGCGGCGGACGGGCGAGUAACACGUAGGUAACCUACCUAUAAGACUGGGAUAACUUCGGGAAACCGGAGCUAAUACCGGAUAAUAUUUCGAACCGCAUGGUUCGAUAGUGAAAGAUGGCUUUGCUAUCACUUAUAGAUGGACCUGCGCCGUAUUAGCUAGUUGGUAAGGUAACGGCUUACCAAGGCAACGAUACGUAGCCGACCUGAGAGGGUGAUCGGCCACACUGGAACUGAGACACGGUCCAGACUCCUACGGGAGGCAGCAGUAGGGAAUCUUCCGCAAUGGGCGAAAGCCUGACGGAGCAACGCCGCGUGAGUGAUGAAGGUCUUCGGAUCGUAAAACUCUGUUAUUAGGGAAGAACAAACGUGUAAGUAACUGUGCACGUCUUGACGGUACCUAAUCAGAAAGCCACGGCUAACUACGU
rnacentral:rRNA from 1 species